GCCGGGGUGGCCGAGCGGUCCAAGGCGGCGGGCUGCAGUGGCAGCGGAGACCCGUUAUCUCCCGGGUUCGAAUCCCGGCCCCGGCUCCA
rnacentral:tRNA from 4 species